CCCAAGAACUCCUCAACUCGCUGCACUCCUACUGCUUCUGCUCCCGGGGGAACAGGAGCACGGGUGUCGCCUGUGGGAGCAGGUGGAGAAGGACAGCGAGCUGAAGAGGGGCAGCCGCCGACAGCCAGGUGCACACGCUGCAGGAGCAGCUGGAUGAGCUGAAGGGAGGGGCUCCCUACCUGAGCAGCCUGCUGCCCCCAGCCGAGGAAUAGAAUCAUAAACCAGUCAAUUGGGAAUCACCUGAUGAGCAGCAGUUUGGUGGCAGCAGUGGGAUCCAAAGGAGACAUCUGAUGGCUUAGGGGAUGAGAAACACAGGCAUUGGUACCCGCAAAACCUUUGAGUUCUCCAUCUUUUUCACUGUUUCUGAGAGCCGUGGUGCCAGCUGCAGAGCUCCAGCCAGCGGCAGAAGCAGAGCAGUGGGCAGUGGUGGAGGUAGAGCUGGCUCCAGCUCUGUUGACACCACCCCCUCUAGCACCGGAGCCAGUGUCCCCUCCACCAGCAGUGUUGGAGCUGGAGCAAAGGCCAACAUGGGUUGCAGCAGGAGUGGGAGCUGCUGAGCUGGAGUCACCUGGACCAUCAUUUCUAGUGGGAAGUCCAUCUCCACCUGUGGCUAAGAAGCAUGAGAAGAAGCCUAACCUCACGGCCUUCCCUCCUAAGCUGGUGGUGGAGCAGUUGACCGUGAUGGAUGCAGAGUGCGAGAUCCUGAAGAACUUCUCCUCGCCCUGCACUGUCAUCUCUGCUCUGCAGAAAACCUCCAUAAACCACCUGAAGAACACAUGGGGGAAGUUUCCUGGGAGAGCUCUGAAAAACUUAAGGAGCGCUAUAGCCAAGACGAGUCCUUGAGCAGAG